AUUGAACGCUGGCGGCAGGCCUAACACAUGCAAGUCGAGCGGAUGAAGGGAGCUUGCUCCUGGAUUCAGCGGCGGACGGGUGAGUAAUGCCUAGGAAUCUGCCUGGUAGUGGGGGAUAACGUCCGGAAACGGGCGCUAAUACCGCAUACGUCCUGAGGGAGGAAGUGGGGGAUCUUCGGACCUCACGCUAUCAGAUGAGCCUAGGUCGGAUUAGCUAGUUGGUGGGGUAAAGGCCUACCAAGGCGACGAUCCGUAACUGGUCUGAGAGGAUGAUCAGUCACACUGGAACUGAGACACGGUCCAGACUCCUACGGGAGGCAGCAGUGGGGAAUAUUGGACAAUGGGCGAAAGCCUGAUCCAGCCAUGCCGCGUGUGUGAAGAAGGUCUUCGGAUUAUAAAGCACUUUAAGUUGGGAGGAAGGGCAGUAAGUUAAUACCUUGCUGUUUUGACGUUACCAACAGAAUAAGCACCGGCUAACUUCGUG
rnacentral:rRNA from 1 species